UGAUAUUACCGAGUAUUAUUCCCGACGAAUAUAGACCGAGGACUCGAUUUUCGUCAGUAUGUGCAUCAAAAUGCUCGGGACAUAUGUGCUCGGGUAUCAUGUGUGCCCGGGCUAAUAGCCCGAAGAUUUAUUACACAAUCAUUCGCAUGUCCUCGGGACUAUGUCCUCGGGAUUAUGACCUAGGACAGCGCCUUGUCCAACGAGAGAUUUAUUCUGACUAAGUAUCCUUAAUUUAUCUCCUAUGCCCAGAAGAACUCUAUUGGUAUCACAAUUAUACCACCAUUCAAACUCCUGUCUCGCGCAGGACUCAUUGGUAUAAAAUUGCAAAAUCAAGCUAUCCUACUACAGGUGCAAUGCGGAAUCCUGAUAUGAACACACUACCUACCCCUAUAAAUACAGGACCUUGAACCAUUAUUCAGGUACGUUUUACAUUGUUCUUCAGCACAUAGCCUCACGCAUAUAUUUCCUUUCUGACUUAAGCAUCGGAGGGGCGACGAGAACACACCUCGUUGCCUUUGUUUCAGGUAUCGGAAGAUCACGUUCGUGCUCCUCACCAAUCAUCAAGCUCGGAAAAUCAGCAGGUACGAUUUUUGGUAGCAUCANNN
rnacentral:lncRNA from 1 species